AUGGAGGGGCUCGACGUCGACGACGUCUUCCACCACUACCGGUUGAGCCCUACGGAAGUGGACGCCGUCACCUACUACCUGCCACGCCUCCUCUCCGGUGAGACGCUGCACGGCGUCGACAAGCUCAUCCACCGCGUCAACAUCUCCGGCUGCGAGCCCAAGGAUCUGGCCGCCCGGUACGCGCCCGUGCCGCAGGCCGUGAGCAGCGGCGACCGGUUCUUCUUCACCACGUGCAAGAGCAAGAACGGGAGCAAGCACCAGAGCGUGCGCGGCGCCGGCACCGGCACCUGGACCAUCCAGAAGACCACGGAGAUUUGCCACGCGGGAGUCAAGGUCGGCGAGGUCAAGAACCUGUCCUUCAAGAAGAAGGGCAAGUCCACCGGCUGGGUCAUGGAGGAGUACCGGUGCCUGCUGCCGGAGGCCACCGUCAGCGACGGGGUGAAGGUCUUCUGCAAGAUGCACUUGGCUCAGCAUGCCCCUGACGCGGCCCGACAGGAAUCGGAGGCGUACAAGCUUCAACAACCGCAACCGGAGGCCGUGACCCAGAGCACGCACGCGCAGAAGAGGCCAGCGACCGCUGCCGCCGCCGAGCCUCAUCCGGCGCGCCCUCAGAAGAGGAUGCGCGGUGCCGUCCCGGUCCCGGCACCUGCCACAUCGUCGUUCACCGCUGCAGCACCGGUUUUCUUGCCGGAU
rnacentral:rRNA from 1 species